AUGCCGGUCGCGCCGGGUCUGGCCACCGGGUGGCACCCACGCUCCACAAAUGCUGCCAACGCGCUGGGCUCGGUCUCCGCUAGGCUCUGCUUGGGAACCAGGGGAGGCAGGGGCUGCAGGAGGGCCAGCGCUGCCCUAGUCCCAGCCCCUGGCUCUCUGAGCCAUGAGUUGACAUUCGUCCCCACUAGGCCUUCUUCCUCAAGCCUUUGUGUUUAUUCUGUUCCCUGCAGACCGAGUGAUGCCCCUUCUCCCAGGCGGCCUGUCUGCCCAUCAGGAGGCCCAGCGCGGCCAGACAGUGAGCCACGAGCACCCUCAGCCCUGGAGCCCGCCCAGUGGUGUUUACAGGAGGCCGGGUCUGGGAACACCUGUUGUCCAGGCAGCCUCCUGCUGUCCUGCCUCCCUACACCCAGCUCACCAUCAGAAAUGCCAUGUUUCUGCCUGUCCUCGUUAUGGCCAGCACUAACUGGCUUUUGCCCCCGAGUAACACAUCAACUACAAGAAACAGGACUGGUUUGGCGCUAUCAGGCCAAGGAUCAGGCCCUUUGCCCCACAAGGCUGCUAAUGGAGAGAAGAGGUUACCCUGAAUUUGUGGGUAAGGAUUGGAAACAAACAAACAAAUAAACAUGUAAACAAAAAAGCUCCCUGGGCCCUCCUUGCCUCUGUCACGGAGGACAAACUGUUCCUUUCCUGACCCUGGCUCCCAAGGUCCCCAGGCUGCCUUGGGCCUGGGGCUGGAAAGAAAUGCCUUUCAUCCCCCUUGAUCCAUGCAAGUUCUUCCAGGCUUGGAAAGGCUCCCAGGCCUUUCUCCAGCUCCCUUCAGAGCAAAGGCUCCCUGAGGCUUUGCUUGUCUGAAUUCCAGGGGCCUUAUGUCGGUUAAAGCUCUUGGAAGUCACAGUCAGUUGUCUCCUUGAUGUCUCUGACUUCAACUGUCCAAACUAUUGCAUUAGGUUCAAUUCAGUCCAUGGCUGUAAAGGCGAUGGUGUCCUGGGAUUUUUAUUAGUAAUACAACCAUAGAAACAGUGUUCAGAAUUAGGUAAAAUAAAUAGAAACAACCAUUAUACUUGCA
rnacentral:lncRNA from 12 species